GACGAACGCUGGCGGCGUGCUUAACACAUGCAAGUCGAACGGAAAGGCCCUGCUUUUGUGGGGUGCUCGAGUGGCGAACGGGUGAGUAACACGUGAGUAACCUGCCCUUGACUUUGGGAUAACUUCAGGAAACUGGGGCUAAUACCGGAUAGGAGCUCCUGCUGCAUGGUGGGGGUUGGAAAGUUUCGGCGGUUGGGGAUGGACUCGCGGCUUAUCAGCUUGUUGGUGGGGUAGUGGCUUACCAAGGCUUUGACGGGUAGCCGGCCUGAGAGGGUGACCGGCCACAUUGGGACUGAGAGACGGCCCAGACUCCUACGGGAGGCAGCAGUGGGGAAUAUUGCACAAUGGGCGGAAGCCUGAUGCAGUAACGCCGCGUGCGGGAUGACGGCCUUCGGGGGGUAAACCGCUGUCGCCUGUGACGAAGCGUGAGUGACGGUAAUGGGUAAAGAAGCACCGGCUAACUACGUG
rnacentral:rRNA from 1 species